rnacentral:rRNA from 1 species
AUUGAACGCUCUUGGCAGGCCUAAUACAUGCAAGUCGAACGGUAACAUAAGAAAAGCUUGCUUUUCUUGAUGACGAGUGGCGGACGGGUGAGUAAGAUUUGGGAAACUACCUGAUAGAGGGGGACAACAGUUGGAAACGACUGCUAAUACCGCAUACAGCCUCAGGGUGAAAGAAGCGAUUCGCUAUCAGAUGUGCCCAAACGGGAUUAGCUAGUAGGUGAGGUAACGGCUCACCAAAGCAACGAUCAGUAGCUGGUCUGAGAGGACGACCAGCCACACUGGGACUGAGACACGGCCCAGACUCCUACGGGAGGCAGCAGUGGGGAAUUUUGGACAAUGGGCGCAAGCCUGAUCCAGCUAUUCCGCGUGUGGGAUGAAGGCCCUCGGGUUGUAAACCACUUUUGUAGAGAACGAAAAGACACCAUCGAAUAAAUGGUGUUGCUGACGGUACUCUAAGAAUAAGCACCGGCUAACUACGUGCCAGCAGCCGCGGUAAUACGUAGGGUGCGAGCGUUAAUCGGAAUUACUGGGCGUAAAGGGUGCGCAGGCGGUUGAGUAAGACAGAUGUGAAAUCCCCGAGCUUAACUCGGGAAUGGCAUAUGUGACUGCUCGACUAGAGUGUGUCAGAGGGAGGUGGAAUUCCACGUGUAGCAGUGAAAUGCGUAGAUAUGUGGAAGAACACCGAUGGCGAAGGCAGCCUCCUGGGUCAUAACUGACGCUCAGGCACGAAAGCGUGGGGAGCAAACAGG